AACCUUAACACCCAAGCGUAGUGCUGGGAGAUGAGGCCCUUGGAAGGUGAUUUGUUUGUGAAGAUAAAGCCCUCACAAAUGGGCAGCCUCCGUGGGAGAAGACAAAGAACUGUGGUCCCGUUCCCUGGGCCUUCCUUCUGUAAGAAGUUUCUACAAACUCCAUGUCUUUGAACAGCAGAAACAGUCUCUCUCACACCCAGAGGCCAGACAUUCAGUCUUACGUGCUGUCGGGAACAUGCCCUACCCCAUCUCCACAGCUGUGUGGGAUGAUGCUUCCGUGAGUCCUCCCAGCUGCAGGUUUCCUUGGUUGUGGCAUGUAUGUGUGGCCUUCUGCCUCUCCCCAGGUUCUCUGGUGUCAUCCAUUUCUUCCUAAACCUGAGCCCAUUCUAACUCUGAAUGACUCAUCUGAAGAUCAUUGACUUUGUUGUGUCUACAGAGACCCUUCUUCCCAAUAAGGUCACACUUGUAGUUUCUACAGGGUCUAGAACCUGCUCACAUCCUCCAAGGAGCCCUGCUUAGCCCAGUGUAAGACAAGAGGACAGACAAGCAAUUAGCAUAGCAACUUACCAGAAUGAAAUCCCCAAUGGCUAAUCAAUAAAAGUAUUAAAUGCAUGGA